AGGGAAGGUUAUCAUGCAGUCGAACGGACUCAUAUUGAAACCUAGUGAUGUAUGAGUUAGUGGCGGACGGGUGAGUAACGCGUGGAGAACCUGCCGUAUACUGGGGGAUAACACUUAGAAAUAGGUGCUAAUACCGCAUAAGCGCACAACUUCGCAUGAAGCAGUGUGAAAAACUCUGGUGGUAUACGAUGGAUCCGCGUCUGAUUAGCUAGUUGGCGGGGUAAAGGCCCACCAAGGCGACGAUCAGUAGCCGGCCUGAGAGGGUGAACGGCCACAUUGGGACUGAGACACGGCCCAAACUCCUACGGGAGGCAGCAGUGGGGAAUAUUGCACAAUGGGGGAAACCCUGAUGCAGCGACGCCGCGUGAGUGAAGAAGUAUUUCGGUACGUAAAGCUCUAUCAGCAGGGAAGAAAAUGACGGUACCUGACUAAGAAGCCCCGGCUAACUACGUGCCAGCAGCCGCGGUAAUACGUAGGGGGCAAGCGUUAUCCGGAUUUACUGGGUGUAAAGGGAGCGUAGACGGCAGCGCAAGUCUGGAGUGAAAUCCCAUGGCUUAACCAUGGAACUGCUUUGGAAACUGUGCAGCUAGAGUGCAGGAGAGGUAAGCGGAAUUCCUAGUGUAGCGGUGAAAUGCGUAGAUAUUAGGAGGAACACCAGUGGCGAAGGCGGCUUACUGGACUGUAACUGACGUUGAGGCUCGAAAGCGUGGGGAGCAAACAGGAUUAGAUACCCUGGUAGUCCACGCUGUAAACGAUGAUUACUAGGUGUUGGGGGACCAAGGUCCUUCGGUGCCGGCGCA
rnacentral:rRNA from 1 species